UAAGAAUGGAUCUUUUGAAGUGCCGCUGUUUAUGCAUCUUACAGCAUACAUAUAAAGUUUAAGCAAUUUGGAGUUGUUGCAACCAUCUCUUCCGCAUAAGAUCCAUUCUCCCUGGAGUAUAUUCGCUACACCUUCAGGAUAGAACUCUCUAUGCCUAGCAGUUCCGGGAAGCGGUUCACCUUCAUCAUUCUGGUCAGUCUUUUCUCUUUCUUCCCCACUUCCCUUAUCCGGCAAGAGCAUGUCAGUAAAUGCUCCCAUCUCAUGGAGCUUCUUGCAAGCAGCCAAACAAACAGCCUGUUG
rnacentral:misc_RNA from 1 species